UAGUCAUGUUUGCUUCCUUGGCAGCUAGAGUCAUUUGCUGUUGUACAUUAGCCGGCAUUUCAUAAAAAGAGACAGCUUUGCAGUGCUGGAUGAACAAGGACAUGAAAGUGCCCAGGCUGAACCGUGUUCCAGAACUCUGACUCAUAUGCCACACUGUCUCUUCCAUUUCAUUCACCCUAAGGCAGUCAGAGAGUUGCAAAGAACCACUUCAGCCAAACAUAUUGGGAACAUGGUUUAAGAAUGCAGUGGUACAUAACCCAGCAAUUGGAGAAGGGAUGGAUUGUUGCCCUCAGAGAACUAUUGAUUGCUAUUCUUCCAAGGAGACAGAGCACCUAGCAACACUACUAUCCAAGACAAAUGAAGACUGAGAAUACCCAGGAAACCUUGGUCAUCUUUCUUUUGGUCACAGAGCUGCAAAGUUCCACAGCCCUGAAGCAGUACAUUAGUAAAUCAUUUCAAAUGGAUUGUUUUGGAGAAAGUGAUUUGAGCACUAUGACCAUAAUCAAUCAAGUUUUUGUGGCAUAGAUGGAAAAGGUUAUUCAAGUGUCUGGCAUAAGUAUAUAUUUUAAAUGGUCUACUGGAGAAGGGUGUCUGGAAACUUAACAAUGGUUUGGUUAGUUCAAGAUAUCAGGGUUUGCUAUUCCAACAGAAGCAGAAGUCAGAAGCAGAGCUUUUAUAUUGAGUGGUUCCAUUGGGAAACUGAACACUGGCCUUGUUUAAAGGGGAGAACAACUGGAAAAGUGUAGCAGUAAUCUAUCUUUAUGUGCCUUUCAACACCAUAAAAUCCUUUAGAUUGCAGUUUGUGCAUUUCAAAUAUAGACAUUAAUAAAGCUGUACUGGAAGCUAUCCAUUAGAAUUUAUUGUCUAAAUUGCACAGCACUUCUCAGCUAUUGUGUUAGGCUAAUUUAAUAACUCUUUUAUAAGGUGAAAAGAUGAAUCAAAUGCACGUCACUUGAAGUAAAUAUAAUCACAGCUUGACUCAUCGUAAACACAAACAUUAUUUAUAAAAAGAAAUCUUGUUUCUUGGAGAAUUAUUUAACAAAGGUACUCUAUAUUUUAAACAUCCACUGGGGGGGGAGAUUAUUUAUGGCAUUCUAUUUGUUUUAUUUUU